rnacentral:lncRNA from 1 species
AUCUUCUCGGCUGCACUCUCCCAUUCACCCACACCCACCCAGAGAUAAGAGACACUACUUGCCCACUCCUUCUUCCUUGACCACCACUGGAGACUACUUGCCGGAGGUCGCCCACUCUUCGUCGCGUUCUUUCUCUCGCCGCUGUUCCUCGCGUUCAUCCCUCCCUCUUCGUGGUUCAGUCGUUCUCGCCGCCUCACCUUCUUGGCGUUCUCGCCGUCAGUAACGGCCCCAUCGCCGUCCUCCUUUCAGUUCCCACCGUCAGUCCGUGGUCCUCAUUUCUCGCCGCUUGCCGUCCUCGGUGGUUACCGCCUUGCCGUACUCGGUUCCUGCCGCGUCUCCGGUCUCCUUUCAUCGAAUCAGCGUGUUCUCUGCUUUAUUGUUCAGGACUUCAGGCAAUUUUUGUACGAAGAUCAUUUGAAUUUUGCGAAGAUAAUUUGAACUGUGAAUUAUGAAUAAUUGUGAAUUGGUUUUGGAUAUAAACUAAUAAUUGUUUUUUGCAGUUUCUAAGUCAGUGGCAGUGCCACCUAGGGGUGUGCAUGGGCCGGGUGAAACCGGGUUUGAUGUGACCCAGAUCCGGCCCAAAAUAUAUACUGGGCCUAUUUAUUAGACUCGAACCCGA